AGUCUGAAAAGACCUUCAGAACUUGGAGGUUUGUAAAUAAGUGUGGGCAGCAGGAGAGGGCCCUUGAUUCCCCACAUGAAAGGAAAAGAAGCGCAGGGAAGAGGCAUGACCUUUGUCUUCUGCGGACAAUAACUCAGCACUGAAUUACAGUCCUAUCUCAUGUGCUUCAUGUAAAUAAAGAAUAAUGCAUACGAAUCAAGAUACUCUGGCCCAAAUGCUUUUCUGCCUGCUUUCAUAAGACGCAGUGUGCUCAGCUGGAGUCUGAGUAAUGCUGCAUAAUUGAUGGCUAUUCAUGUCCCGAAGCAUCACAGCCUGGUAAGAAACACCACUCAUAGCAGCUGGGAAGAAAGAGAUUCUGGCUAAAUAGAUGGGACCAGAACCAGAAGGCAGGCUCUAAAACUGAUUAUUUCUAAUGAAGAGUAAUGAGCCCUAUCCUUUGGCCUGCACAGAGCAAAGCCCUGAGCAAACCUUUGGAAUGAAGACCAGUGCCAUGCCAGAAGGCAAUAUGAAAAUGGAUGACCAAAGUUAGAACAGAGGAGGAGAAAGCGACACCAGCAAAUACCUUCUGUGAAAACGGCAGAAAGAUUAUUGAAGAAUAAAGGAAGUUAAAUGAUUGCCAGAGGCAGCAAUUAAUGCAAACAAAAGAAUUAUUUUUAAGAACAUAAUGUCAGAAGGAAGUAGACUUCGUAGGUGUCAGUGUGAUGCAGUUUCAUGGAUUUCCUGCCUUCUUUUAAAUAAACGUCACAUAUAAAAGAUAAGACAUGGACACUUUGGAAGGUUCUUUCCAAGAGAGGGCCUAUGUUGCUGCCACUACCAUCCAGUGAAAGGCUGAGCUGUGACUCCUACACAUCACUUUCCUCCUCCUAGUCAUUCUCAGCAAGAUGAACCUCUGGUGAAGUAUGCUGAAGUUUACCUGAAGAAGACUUGAGCUGAAUUUUUCUACCUGACCCUACUGUCCUAAUAAGGGCUUCUCCAGAGUCCUGUAAUAUCCUGGGAAUUUUGUU